CUGUGUUCGGAAUGGAUAAGCGCUGAAAGCAUCUAAGCGCGAAGCCAACUUCAAGAUAAGAUUUCCCACCGCAAGGGUAAGACCCCAGAAAGACUAUCUGGUUGAUAGGUCGAAGGUGUAAGUGCAGCAAUGUA
rnacentral:rRNA from 1 species